AUUUUUAUAGGUCAAUCAAAGGAUAGAUUUGCAAUGUCAACUCUUCUGGUGAAGCAUGGAUCAAAUUUAAAUGCAGCAUCCAACAGUGGCGAAAGGCCGCUCGAUAUUGUCGUGGGAAAUAUGAUCAAGGAAAUGACAAAUGUUACAGUUUUGUCAACGGCAGAAAAUUGUAGCACUCAAACGGUAGAUUUGUCCUUAUUGAAUGUACUCGUUUGUGGAGGUGCAGAUUUACGUCCUGUAAUAACUGACACAAUUGAACCAUUCUGUGGAAUUUCAUCAUUAAAUACAGUACAUAUAACACCAUUGAAUUAUCCAAACAGAAAUAAAUCUGCCUUGUAUUUGUUAAUUAGUAACGGACUUUUCCAAACUGCCGAAUAUUUGCUACGUAGUGGAUGGGAUGUUGAGAAGGAAGAAUGGUUUUAUACCUUUGAUGUCUCAAAGCUUGAUAUAAUUGAAAAUAUCAUAACAAAUUACCGCAUCUAUAAACGGCAUGAUGUUGAAGCAAAAAAGGCAGAAUUCAAAUCAUGUUUGCAGAACUUUGAUAAGGGUCCUAAAUCCUUAAUAACAAUAUGUAGAAAACAAAUUCGACAGCAACUCCUACUGGUAUCAAAUGGUUCUGAGAUUGAAACAAAGAUUUCAACACUUCCGCUUCCAGAGAAAAUCAAAAGUUUCUUGUCGUUGAAAGAAUAUAUUCAGGAAAACGAAAUUAUUAAGUUUGAAUGAAAGAAAUAAACCGAACACUAUCCAUUCUUUACAAGCACUUGAAUUAUACGGCGGUCUAUUUUCCAAUGCAAAUGCAAUAGUAUUCUGAUGACUAUUAUUAUGAUGGUCAAAACGGUUAUUAUCAAGACACGUACGAUUCGGAUUGGUAACAAUAAGAAAAGGUGGUAUACAUUGCAGCAAACCACUGUUAAAUUUCGAAUUAAAAAUGGCAGUCUAAUGCUAAGAGGAUUGUAAAAGAAGUUUUAAAUUAUGAAAACGGGUUGUUAACUUAAGAUACCACAAAAUCCAGAAAGCCAAAACAAAUGCAGAGAACACACAUUGGUUACAAAGACAGUACAAAGACAUUAGUUUUGCUUUUCUUUUAGUUAUUUACUGAUUGUUUAUCAUUGUCUUCUCUUUUUCUAUUUCUCUAAAAUAAAGUUACUGAACAUA